rnacentral:tRNA from 1 species
GCGAGUGUGGUGAAAUUGGUAAACACGCCAGAUUUAGGCUCUGGAGCUUUAAGCAUAAGGGUUCAAAUCCCUUCACCCGUA